rnacentral:lncRNA from 1 species
AGAGACAGGGAUGAGGCUCUUUCCUUGAGUGGCAACUAGAGAAAUAGAGAGAAGGGGAUGAUGGAAAAAUUAGAGUGGAUAUGAAAACAGAUGUACCUGUUAAGGGAUAAGGCUCUCAUAAUUAUAUGGGCCACAUCUACCACUGAAUGGAAAGAUAAGAAAUAGCUCCCAAGAAUAUCUCAUUGAUGCCUGAAAAUGGAGAUAAGAAGAGGAAAAUAAAGAUAUUUCUUCCAUUCUCUGCA